rnacentral:rRNA from 1 species
GCGUAAUAGCUCACUGGUCUAGUGAUUUUGCGCGGAAAAUAUAACGGGGCUAAAGUAAGUACCGAAGCUGUAGACUUAGUUUACUAAGUGGUAGGAGAGCGUUCUAUUUGCGUCGAAGGUAUACCGGUAAGGAGUGCUGGAGCGAAUAGAAGUGAGCAUGCAGGCAUGAGUAGCGAUAAUUAAUGUGAGAAUCAUUAACNCCGUAAACCCAAGGUUUCCUACNCNAUNCUCGUCAUCGUAGGGUUAGUCGNGUCCUAAGUCGAGUCCGAAAGGGGUAGACGAUGGCAAAUUGGUUAAUAUUCCAAUACCAACAUUAGUNUGCGAUGGAAGGACGCUUAGGGCUAAGGGGGCUAGCGGAUGGAAGUGCUAGUCUAAGGUCGUAGGAGGUUAUACAGGAAAAUCCGUAUAACAAUACUCCGAGAACUGAAAGGCUUUUUGAAGUCUUCGGAUGGAUAGAAGAACCCCUGAUNCCGUCGAGCCAAGAAAAGUUUCUAAGUUUAGCUAAUGUUNCCCGUACCGUAAACCGACACAGGUGGGUGGGAUGAGUAUUCUAAGGCNCNUNGAAGAACUCUCUUUAAGGAACUCUGCAAAAUAGCACCGUAUCUUCGGUAUAAGGUGUGGUUAGCUUUGUAUUAGGAUUUACUCCGAAAGCGAAGAAACUUACAACAAAGAGUCCCUCCCGACUGUUUACCAAAAACACAGCACUCUGCUAACUCGUAAGAGGAUGUAUAGGGUGUGACGCCUGCCCGGUGCUCGAAGGUUAAUUGAUGGGGUUAGCAUUAGCGAAGCUCUUGAUCGAAGC